UACGUAGGGUGCGAGCGUUAAUCGGAAUUACUGGGCGUAAAGCGUGCGCAGGCGGUUCGCUGUGUCCGAUGUGAAAGCCCACGGCUCAACCGUGGAGGGUCAUUGGAAACUGGGGAACUUGAGUGCAGGAGAGAAGAGUGGAAUUCCACGUGUAGCGGUGAAAUGCGUAGAGAUGUGGAGGAACACCAGUGGCGAAGGCGACGCUCUGGUCUGUAACUGACGCUGAGGCGCGAAAGCGUGGGGAGCAAACAGG
rnacentral:rRNA from 1 species